UGAGGAAUAUUGGUCAAUGGACGGGAGUCUGAACCAGCCAUCCCGCGUGCAGGACGAAGGCGCUAUGCGUUGUAAACUGCUUUUCCAGGGGAAGAAAACCCCCGACGUGUCGGGGCUUGCCGGUACCUUGGGAAUAAGCAUCGGCUAACUCCGUGCCAGCAGCCGCGGUAAUACGGAGGAUGCGAGCGUUAUCCGGAUUUAUUGGGUUUAAAGGGUGCGUAGGCGGACUGAUAAGUCAGUGGUGAAAACCUGCAGCUUAACUGUAGAACUGCCAUUGAUACUGUCAGACUUGAGUAUGGUCAAGGUAGGCGGAAUGUGUAAUGUAGCGGUGAAAUGCUUAGAUAUUACACAGAACACCGAUUGCGAAGGCAGCUUGCUGGGCCAUUACUGACGCUGAUGCACGAAAGCGUGGGGAGCGAACAGG
rnacentral:rRNA from 1 species